UACGUAGGGUGCAAGCGUUGUCCGGAAUUAUUGGGCGUAAAGAGCUCGUAGGCGGUUUGUCGCGUCUGCUGUGAAAACUCAGGGCUUAACUCUGAGCUUGCAGUGGGUACGGGCAGACUAGAGUGCGGUAGGGGAGACUGGAAUUCCUGGUGUAGCGGUGAAAUGCGCAGAUAUCAGGAGGAACACCGGUGGCGAAGGCGGGUCUCUG
rnacentral:rRNA from 1 species